GAUGAACGCUCGCGGCAGGCCUAAUACAUGCCAGUCGGACGGGAUUCAGGAGCUUGCUUCUGAUGAGAGUGGCGCACGGGUGCGUAACACGUAUGUAACCUACCUUUAUCAGGGGGAUAGCCUCUCGAAAGAGAGAUUAAGCCCGCAUAAAAUCACAGCACAGCAUUGUGUAAUGAUCAAAUAUUUAUAGGAUAAAGAUGGGCAUGCGGAACAUUAGCUAGAUGGCGGGGUAACGGCCCACCAUGGCGACGAUGUUUAGGGGAUCUGAGAGGAUGGCCCCCCACACUGGUACUGAGACACGGACCAGACUCCUACGGGAGGCAGCAGUAAGGAAUAUUGGUCAAUGGGCGGAAGCCUGAACCAGCCAUGCCGCGUGCAGGAAGACGGCCCUACGGGUUGUAAACUGCUUUUAUACGGGAAUAAACCCAGAUACGUGUAUCUGGCUGAAUGUACUGUAAGAAUAAGGAUCGGCUAACUCCGUG
rnacentral:rRNA from 1 species